UGGGGAAUCUUGCACAAUGGGCGAAAGCCUGAUGCAGCGACGCCGCGAGCGGGAUGAAGGCCUUCGGGUUGUAAACCGCUUUCAGCAGGGACGAGGCCGCAAGGUGACGGUACCUGCAGAAGAAGCCCCGGCUAACUACGUGCCAGCAGCCGCGGUAAUACGUAGGGGGCAAGCGUUAUCCGGAUUCAUUGGGCGUAAAGCGCGCGUAGGCGGUUUGUUAGGUCAGGAGUUAAAUCUGGGGGCUCAACCCCUAUCCGCUCCUGAUACCGGCAGGCUUGAGUCUGGUAGGGGAAGGCGGAAUUCCAAGUGUAGCGGUGAAAUGCGCAGAUAUUUGGAAGAACACCGGUGGCGAAGGCGGCCUUCUGGGCCACGACUGACGCUGAGGCGCGAAAGCUAGGGGAGCGAACAGG
rnacentral:rRNA from 1 species